UCCCAGACUCCUACGGGAGGCAGCAGUGGGGAAUAUUGCACAAUGGGGGAAACCCUGAUGCAGCGACGCCGCGUGAGUGAAGAAGUAUUUCGGUAUGUAAAGCUCUAUCAGCAGGGAAGAAAAUGACGGUACCUGACUAAGAAGCCCCGGCUAACUACGUGCCAGCAGCCGCGGUAAUACGUAGGGGGCAAGCGUUAUCCGGAUUUACUGGGUGUAAAGGGAGCGUAGACGGCAUGGCAAGUCAGGUGUGAAAGCCCGGGGCUCAACCCCGGGACUGCAUUGGAAACUGUCAGGCUAGAGUGUCGGAGAGGCAAGUGGAAUUCCUAGUGUAGCGGUGAAAUGCGUAGAUAUUAGGAGGAACACCAGUGGCGAAGGCGGCUUGCUGGACGAUGACUGACGUUGAGGCUCGAAAGCGUGGGGAGCAAACAGGAUUAGAUACCCGCGUA
rnacentral:rRNA from 1 species